rnacentral:lncRNA from 1 species
UUUUCUACAUCAAUUUCACCCCAUCUCUUCUUUCUGAUAUAUUUUUCAUUUAGGGUUUAUCUUAGUCUCUCGUUUCACAGUAUAGUAAAUGGCUGCUGAAGUAGAAUACAGUUGCUUCGUCGGUGGGCUCGCAUGGGCUACCACCGAUAGAACCUUAGCUGACGCUUUUGGUACAUACGGCGAAGUUCUCGACUCGAAGGUCCGUUUGUUGCGCAGAGCAGAAAUCGAAUCCGAGCCCAUUUUUUGGCUUCGUUGAUGACCUUCUGUUACUGAUUACUGUUAUUACUCUCUGGUUUACUUGAUUCAUCUGUUACUGUUACUGUUAUUACUAUUAUACCCUUGAAACGGUACGUUCCAUCUUUUCUCUUUUUGUCAAGAGAUGAAGAUAGAUCGGUUAAUUAUUUAGCUUGUAAACGUUGGAGAUCUGUUAGAUCUGAGCAUAGUUUUGUUUUGUUUUUAUUUUUUCAGAUCAUUAACGACAGAGAAACUGGCAGAUCUAGAGGAUUUGGCUUUGUUACCUUUAAGGAUGAGAAAUGCAUGAGGGAUGCAAUCGAAGGGAUGAACGGUCAGGAACUUGACGGCCGUAACAUUACUGUUAACGAAGCUCAGGCUCGUGG